UCCCUGGUGGCUCAGAUGGUAAAGCGUCUGCCCGCAAUGCAGAAGACCCAGGUUCGAUCCCUGGGUUGGGAA
rnacentral:tRNA from 1 species